rnacentral:rRNA from 1 species
ACGAACGCUGGCGGCGUGCUUCACACAUGCAAGUCGAACGGAAAGGCCCUGCUUGCAGGGUACUCGAGUGGCGAACGGGUGAGUAACACGUGGGUGAUCUGCCCUGCACUUCGGGAUAAGCCUGGGAAACUGGGUCUAAUACCGGAUAGGAGCCAUUUUUAGUGUGAUGGUUGGAAAGUUUUUUCGGUGUAGGAUGAGCUCGCGGCCUAUCAGCUUGUUGGUGGGGUAAUGGCCUACCAAGGCGGCGACGGGUAGCCGGCCUGAGAGGGUGGACGGCCACAUUGGGACUGAGAUACGGCCCAGACUCCUACGGGAGGCAGCAGUGGGGAAUAUUGCACAAUGGGCGCAAGCCUGAUGCAGCGACGCCGCGUGGGGGAUGACGGCCUUCGGGUUGUAAACUCCUUUCGCUAGGGACGAAGCUUUUGUGACGGUACCUAGAUAAGAAGCACCGGCUAACUACGUG